rnacentral:rRNA from 1 species
UGAACGCUAGCGGCAGGCUUAACACAUGCAAGUCGAGGGGCAGCACGGGUAGCAAUACCUGGUGGCGACCGGCGCAAGGGUGCGUAACGCGUGAGCAACAUGCCCUAUACAGGGGGAUAAUCCAGGGAAACUUGGUCUAAUAUCCCAUAGCAUUUAGAGGAGGCAUCUUCACUAAAUUAAAGCUUCGGUGGUAUAGGAUUGGCUCGCGUGACAUUAGCUAGAUGGUGAGGUAACGGCCCACCAUGGCUAUGAUGUCUAGGGGUUCUGAGAGGAAGACCCCCCACAUUGGGACUGAGACACGGCCCAGACUCCUACGGGAGGCAGCAGUGAGGAAUAUUGGACAAUGGAUGGAAAUCUGAUCCAGCCAUGCCGCGUGCAGGAAGACGGCCCUAUGGGUUGUAAACUGCUUUUAUAUGGGAGCAAUAAGGUUUACGAGUAGACCGAUGAGAGUACCAUAUGAAUAAGCAUCGGCUAACUCCGUG